UACAGAGGUCUCAAGCGUUGUUCGGAUUCAUUGGGCGUAAAGGGUGCGUAGGCGGCGCGGUAAGUCGGGUGUGAAAUCUCGGAGCUUAACUCCGAAACUGCAUUCGAUACUGCCGUGCUUGAGGACUGGAGAGGAGACUGGAAUUUACGGUGUAGCGGUGAAAUGCGUAGAUAUCGUAAGGAAGACCAGUGGCGAAGGCGGGUCCCUGGACAGUUCCUGACGCUGAGGAGCGAAAGCUAGGGGAGCGAACAGG
rnacentral:rRNA from 1 species